UACGUAGGGUGCAAGCGUUAUCCGGAAUUAUUGGGCGUAAAGAGCUCGUAGGCGGUUUGUCGCGUCUGCUGUGAAAACCCGAGGCUCAACCUCGGGUCUGCAGUCGAUACGGGCAAACUGGAGUGUUGCAGGGGAGACUGGAAUUCCUGGUGUAGCGGUGAAAUGCGCAGAUAUCAGGAGGAACACCGGUGGCGAAGGCGGGUCUCUGGGCCGAUACUGACGCUGAGGAGCGAAAGCGUGGGGAGCGAACAGG
rnacentral:rRNA from 1 species